rnacentral:lncRNA from 1 species
GUUAUGUGCAGGUACAUCACUUUUUGAUGACUAUAUCACAUGACAUGUGGAUUACGUAGCUAAUUAUUAACGGAUGGAGGUUGAGAGGAUAAGAUAUGGGAAAAGAUACUACAGCAGCCCUACAGGACUUGUAUCAAUUCUUCAGACAAGUUGUGGAAAACGUGAACAUGAAUCUCCUGACACAAAGUAGCACUCUCUUUUGAGGCUCUGCAGGUGUAAAAGCUCCAUCUCCACUGCAUUUCCAUCAUGAGUGAAAYAGCCUUGCUGCAUGUGCCUGUCUGGUUGUCUGUGAUCUGCAGAGGAGCACAAGCAUAAGGAGCCAGCACCUUGGAAUUGCAGCUCCAGCUUUGGAUCCAUCCAUGCUAUGCUCUCAACGUAUGGCAGCUCUUUGUACAAUGUACUCAGAAAUUCCAGUAUCUGACUACACGUGAGAACAGAAAAGAUUUUCCCUGAAGACUGACACUUGGAUAUUGCUUGGUGUGAAUGCUGAGUUACUGCAGCAAUGUCAGUGCGGAAUCACACAACUGUGUCUGAGGAAAGGUCUGGGUCAUCUGACAAGUGUAAAAUAAUCAGCAUUCAUACAUUCCUUCUCCGGUUGAUUAUAUCUUCCAAAAUAACUGUGCAACAAGGUUCCAUAUUUGGCUUGAUGGAAGUUUCUGGAAUGUGUCUGGAGUAAGAAUUUCUCUUCCCAUGGAUCAGAAUCAGAAGUCGGUGUACAAGACAAUUUGUGAUUUUCUUUAGAGUAAGAGAAAGGCAUCUCCAUGGGAGAGUAUAAAUAAAUAUUAAACAGAAGUCA